CAUAAAACAAUGGAGAGAUCUCACCAAAACAGAGUCACUGUUCCCGGACACAAAUCACCACUGUUCCAAACUCCAAAUCCAAUCUCCACCGUUCAAAAUGAAGAUCAAUGAGUUAAGAACGUGCUAACCAAAAAUCAUCUCGAUCAGACCACAGAUUAAUCUCGAUCAAAGCUGAAGAUCAGAACUGCCCGGGUGAGAAGAAAUUCAACAACAAAGAUGCACUGUUCACGGACUGAAACAACAACCUUCCAGAACUCCAAAUCCGAUCUCCACCGU
rnacentral:lncRNA from 1 species